rnacentral:rRNA from 1 species
GUCUCAGGCCGUAUCAGCCUGAAGGCACCCGAUCUCGUCUGAUCUCGGAAGCUAAGCAGGGUCGGGCCUGGUUAGUAUCUUGGAUGGGAGACCACCUGGGAAUCCCGGGUGCUCGAGGCU